rnacentral:rRNA from 1 species
UUGAACGCUGGCGGCAGGCCUAACACAUGCAAGUCGAACGGUAACAGGAAGAGCUUGCUUCUUUGCUGACGAGUGGCGGACGGGUGAGUAAUGUCUGGGAAACUGCCUGAUGGAGGGGGAUAACUACUGGAAACGGUAGCUAAUACCGCAUAACGUCGCAAGACCAAAGAGGGGGACCUUCGGGCCUCUUGCCAUCGGAUGUGCCCAGAUGGGAUUAGCUAGUAGGUGGGGUAACGGCUCACCUAGGCGACGAUCCCUAGCUGGUCUGAGAGGAUGACCAGCCACACUGGAACUGAGACACGGUCCAGACUCCUACGGGAGGCAGCAGUGGGGAAUAUUGCACAAUGGGCGCAAGCCUGAUGCAGCCAUGCCGCGUGUAUGAAGAAGGCCUUCGGGUUGUAAAGUACUUUCAGCGGGGAGGAAGGGAGUAAAGUUAAUACCUUUGCUCAUUGACGUUACCCGCAGAAGAAGCACCGGCUAACUCCGUGCCAGCAGCCGCGGUAAUACGGAGGGUGCAAGCGUUAAUCGGAAUUACUGGGCGUAAAGCGCACGCAGGCGGUUUGUUAAGUCAGAUGUGAAAUCCCCGGGCUCAACCUGGGAACUGCAUCUGAUACUGGCAAGCUUGAGUCUCGUAGAGGGGGGUAGAAUUCCAGGUGUAGCGGUGAAAUGCGUAGAGAUCUGGAGGAAUACCCGGUGGCGAAGGCGGCCCCCUGGACGAAGACU